UACGUAGGUGGCAAGCGUUGUCCGGAUUUACUGGGCGUAAAGCGCCCGCAGGCGGCCUGUCAAGUUCGAGGUGAAAUCUCCCGGCUUAACUGGGAGGGUGCCUCGAAAACUGGCAGGCUUGAGGUGUGGAGAGGGAUGCAGAAUUCCUGGUGUAGCGGUGAAAUGCGUAGAUAUCUGGAGGAACACCGGUGGCGAAGGCGCCCACCUGGCCUGCUACUGACGCUGAAGCUCGAAAGCUAGGGGAGCAAACGGG
rnacentral:rRNA from 1 species